rnacentral:rRNA from 1 species
AACGAACGCUGGCGGCAGGCUUAACGCAUGCAAGUCGAACGCCCCGCAAGGGGAGUGGCAGACGGGUGAGUACCGCGUGGGAACAUACCCUUUUCUACGGAAUAGCUCUGGGAAACUGGAAUUAAUACCGUAUACGCCCUACGGGGGAAAGAUUUAUCGGGGAAGGAUUGGCCCGCGUUGGAUUAGCUAGUUGGUGGGGUAAAGGCCUACCAAGGCGACGAUCCAUAGCUGGUCUGAGAGGAUGAUCAGCCACAUUGGGACUGAGACACGGCCCAAACUCCUACGGGAGGCAGCAGUGGGGAAUAUUGGACAAUGGGCGCAAGCCUGAUCCAGCCAUGCCGCGUGAGUGAUGAAGGCCUUAGGGUUGUAAAGCUCUUUCACCGAUGAAGAUAAUGACGGUAGUCGGAGAAGAAGCCCCGGCUAACUUCGUG